AUUUUUUAAAUUUUAGUUCAUCUCAUUGAGUUGAAAUGUGACAUAUUGUUUUAUGUUCCCUUUACUCCGUCCUCCUACUUUCUGUAUUUUACACGAAGCCCAUUGAAUGUUCUUUUUUUUUUUUUAAAUGCUCUAUACAAAAAAAAUCUUGCUUUACCUGAAAUAGAAACAAGUAAACCAAAAACACUGUCAGAUCUUUACCGAUAGUUUUAUUAUUAUUCCAAACAUGACUGGUACGAUUUAGACUUUAUGAGCUCUAGAGGCAGAAAAUUAAAUACAUACAAUCAUAUACGGCUGUAAGCGGGCAGCUUAUAAACAAUUAUAUGCAACACAAUAUUUAAUAAACCUCAACUAACAGAAAGUUUCAUAGUGGUUGUGCAAAUGUAUCACCUGCAAAGAAAUCCAUGAGUUUAAUACAUGAUGCAUGAAUCAUAACAGCUAUUUUCUUAAACAUAUAUAUGACUAAAUAAUGAUGGGAAAAAAAAAUACAUUAACAUCUGCUCUUCCUUGACUUUAAAUUUGCAUCACAGCUUGCGAACCUGAAUGGAAAAAUACAAAUCUCAUGGCAGUUACAGACGUUGGGCUUCAACUAUGUGAACAGACUGAUCAGCAUUUCAGGUUAAUGGAAACUAAACUCAACAGCAUUAUUGUGGUGCAACAUGUGCACCAAAAUUCAAAUUCCGGACAAGAAAUGCAGGUGGAGUUAUAGCAGGUCAGAACAUGAUCUCUGUGGGUGUCAUUAUGAAAACAACGCAAAAACAAAAAGAGACAGCAAUAUUAAAUAAUAACAUUAUAAAUGUGCAUUAUUUGCCUAUAAAAUGAAUUUUCACAGCAUGACUGUGGAUUUUGCCCUUCACUCACAGCAUAACAGCCUCAAGUAUGGACUUUAAUUGGUUUAUUGCUGUUACCUGCUGACAGUGCAACAGCAGCAAUAUGAGUUUCUAUCAGCAUUUUUCAAAAAGGGAAAACGUUUCAUGUCAGAUUCAUUCAUGAUUAACUGAAUCUGAAAUGCAAUGAAGUCCACCUGAAGUGAAAGUUUCAAUUUGAGUCAUUGUAGAACUUGCAGUCCUGCUGAUUGUUACGGAUUAUUUACAUCUGACAGGAUAUAUAGUACAAAAUGACAAAGGGCAAGUGUGCAUUUAAUGUACAGACAAAACAGAAUAGCUCAUACUAGUACGGAAUUUUAAAGCUCAAAACUACUGUAUCUAUCAAUCUGAUGAACUGAAGAGCUGUAAUGAAUUUCCAAGAACUGAGACAGACUUGUUUUAUAUAUUUUGUUAAAAAUUAGUUUUCAAUUCUUUUUCCUUAUUUACUUAACUGUGAUGCAGUUUUGAUCAACAAGUUUCAGACUCUUCAAACUAUCUUUUUGCUGCUGAGGGAGAAGGUUUUUGGUUGUUGUUUUGUGGACUUGUCUUCGUCGAUGUCCGCUGCCUGACCUGCUCAUUCUCCUGGCUGAUUAAAGGUGUUUUGAUCC
ensembl:lncRNA